rnacentral:lncRNA from 10 species
AUGACAGGUGACGGCCUCCUGUGUGGAAGCACGAAGGAGCGGACGGGUGUCGCUGUACCGGCCUCCGAGCUCCACACAGACAAGUCCAGCGCUCGGGCGGGGGUAGGAGACAGAGCGGAGGGGCGGGGGGCGGUGUCGUCUCUGUCUAGGGACGGCGACGGAGUUGGUGGUCCCUGCGCGAUGGCCACCUCGGUGUUGUGCUGCCUGCGGUGCUGCAGAGACGGCGGGACUGGCCACAUCCCUCUGAAGGAGAUGCCGGCCGUGCAGCUGGAUACGCAGCACAUGGAUCUUUCCAGACGCCGGCGGACUCAAACUGGGCCCGGUUCUGUGUUCAAGGCUGCGCAGCCCUCUCUGUGUCUGUCAUCGCAAGUGGGCGUGUGGACCUCCCAUUUUCACAGGAACUCCGAGGGCUUCCUCCGGAGAUGUCACACGUCCCCAGGCGAGGGGGCGGAGAGUGCCCUCCUGGCGCGCCCCAGUCAAAACCUACACAUUUUCAGAAUGCUUGUAGGUCCGGUUUUGCUCCUCCUCCUGCCCUGACUGUCGGUCGGGUCUCUUGAGCCCCAUCAUUUAUAGGUUGAAGCCUGUAUUAUUGGAAGUAAUUUUCCUAUCACUUAAAGUCAAAACGAGGCAGACUGCAGAAGUCUGAAGUCGCACCUCAGGUCAGAACUUGCCAUUUCAACUAAAACCUCCCCUUGCCCGACUCCUUAGUCAUUGUUAGAGGUACUGUAAUUUCAUCUGAUGGGUCUCUUCCCUACAGGUCAAGCUGUUGCAAAAUAAAAUAGCACUUUGCUCCUUUGCAUCUGCUUUAUCCUUUUAAUUCCAAUCCAUAUAAUUUAUCUAACAUUCUUCCUCUCCUGUCAUAGCCUCUUUCACUACCUUAUUUCUGUUCUUAGACUUUUCCCAGGUAGUUUCAUGCUUCUGGAAUGUGGUUCUAGAAGGAGAGAUUUCCCAAUAUACUUAUUUCAGUUAGAGUAAUGUGUUUUGUGGAUUAUUUUAUUCUAACUAUACUUCUGCACUUUUGAUUUUUCACACAUUUCUGACUGUUUAAAGGACAGUGCCUUGAAAUAAAAAGGCACUUCUUAAUAUUUAUGAUAAAACUCUCUCUUGCCCAGAUUCCUAAUAAUUCUGGAAAUACUCUGCCCACUACAUUUUUGUAUAACACAUACUAAAUGUGAUAAUUAUGUAAUCACCUUGUACGUGUGUAUUUACUUUUAAUUCUUAGAUCUCCCAAAUGUAGCACAUAUCCUUAAUACAUAAGUAAUCUUUAAAUUAUUUUUUAUCCAUCAUCAUUUAUAGACGAUGGAGUUCAAAUCCUAUAGUUUUCCCCAGAAAAUAUUUCCAUUUCAGUUACUCAUUUACUGAAGUAAUAUUUAUUAAGCAACUAUCAGGUGGCAGGCAUUGUUAUAAGUGCUUAGAAUAUAGUGAAGGACAACCGUACAUAGUUCCUGGAACUCAUGAUCAGCUGCAGCACUUCUUAUCUUUACUGUUAGACUCUUGAAUUACUGCAGUCUGCUCUUUGAAGCAUUCCUUUUCUCUGGCGUCUGUUUCCUCUAGGAAGAGCUGGUCAGAUAUACUCAUUCCACUAUGUUUUAUUUCUCCAAAGCUGUCCAGCAACUGUCAGCUACUAAUUGGAUGAAAUAGAGUAAUGUCAUCUCCAAAUUUUCUAACUGCAUGGAAGUUUUUUCUUUUUUUCUUUUCUUUUCUUUUUUUUUUUUUUUUUUUUUUGAGACGGAGUUUCACUGUUGUUGCCCAGGCUGGAGUGCAGUGGCACAAUCUCGGCUCACUGCAACCUCCGCCUCCCGGGUUCAAGUGGUUCUCCUGACUCAGCCUCUUGAGUAACUGGGAUUACAGACACCCACUACCACACCCCGCUAAUUUUUGUAUUUUUACUAGAGGCGGGGUUUCACCAUGUUGGUCAGGCUGGUCUCGAACUCCGGACCUCGUGAUUUGCCUGCCUCAGCCUCCCAAAGUGAUGGGAUUACAGGCAUGAGCCACCGCGCCUGGCCAGGAAGCUUUUUCUUAGCCUUUCUGUAAACUUAAAUUAUUCAUUCACAGAGGAGCCUGAUUUGAGAACCUGAAUAAAAUGAAAGAAAAGGGUUGUUGAGUUAGAAGAGCAUGGAUUGAUCUUGACUUGAAACUAGAAACACAUGGAUUUGGUUGUGUGAAACAUUAUUAUAUUAAAUAACCUAAGAAAUAUGAUUUUUUAAAAUAAAAUUGUCUGUAUACUUCAAGUGAUUAUCUCUCAGGGUUGUCAUUUUGGUGAUGUUGUAUUACUUAAAACCACUUUGGAAUUCCUCUUUUGUAAUUUUCUAUGGCAUAGUUUUUGUAAGUAUUAUCAUUGAUGCCAUAUCUUUGGCUUUUAAUUGUGAGUUGACAUUUUAGAAACAAAUGACUUCCAAGGGAGCUACUUUGAAAGGGAUACCACUCAUUUGGAAAUUUAUGUUUCUUAAAACAUCCUCUGUGGCUAUGUUUAUGCGGCAUUCUGGCUGUACUCAAAUUUGCCUUGACUGUCUAAGCAGUACCAAUCAUUAAAACUACAGAUUCAAAUACAGGACAUUUGUGUACUUAAGAGAAAUGGGGGCCGGGCGCGGUGGCUCAAGCCUGUAAUCCCAGCACUUUGGGAGGCCGAGACGGGUGGAUCAUGAGGUCAGGAGAUCGAGACCAUCCUGGCUAACACGAUGAAACCCCGUCUCUACUAAAAAUACAAAAGAGAUUGCACCACUGCACUCCAGCCUGGCCGACAGAGCAAGACUGUCUCAAAAAAGAGAGAGAGAGAGAGAGAGAGAAAGAAAGAAAGAAAGAAAGAAAGAAAGAAAGAAAGAAAGAAAGAAAGAAAGAAAGAAAGAAAGAAAGAAAGAAAGAAAAAAAGAAAGAGAGAGAAAGAAAGAGAGAGAGGGAGGAAGAAAGAAAGAGAGAGAGGGAGGAAGGAAGGAAAGGAAGGAAGGAAGGAAGGAAGGAAGGAAGGAAGGAAGGAAGGAAGGAAGGAAGGAAGGAAGGAAGAGAGGGAGGGAGGGAGGGAGAGAGGGAGGGAGAGAGAGAGAGAGAGAGAGAGAGAAAGAAAGAAAGAAAGAAAGAAAGAAAGAAAGAAAGAAAGAAAGAAAGAAAGAAAGAAAGGAAGGAAGGAAGGAAGGAAGGAAGGAAGGAAGGAAGGAAGGAAGGAAGAGUAUAGGGAGAGUGAUCAAUUAUGAGAAGCUUUGGAUGCUGUGAUACGUCAG